CUAGGAAUCUUGGGAAUGGGCGAAAGCCUGACCCAGCAACGCCGCGUGGGCGAUGAAGGCCUUCGGGUCGUAAAGCCCUUUUGUAGGGGACGAUGAUGACGGUACCCUGCGAAUAAGCCACGGCUAACUACGUGCCAGCAGCCGCGGUAAUACGUAGGUGGCAAGCGUUGUCCGGAUUUACUGGGCGUAAAGGGCGUGCAGGCGGUUUGUUAAGUGCAGGGUGAAAGCUCCCGGCUCAACUGGGAGAGGUCCUUGCAUACUGGCGAACUCGAGGGAGGCAGAGGAAAGUGGAAUUCCCGGUGUAGUGGUGAUAUGCGUAGAUAUCGGGAGGAACACCUGUGGCGAAGGCGGCUUUCUGGGCCUUACCUGACGCUGAGACGCGAAAGCGUGGGGAGCGAACCGGAUUAGAUACCCGGGUAGUCCACGCCGUAAACUAUGGACACUAGGUGUGGGGGGUAUCGACCCCCUCCGUGCCGAAGCUAACGCAAUAAGUGUCCCGCCUGGGGAGUACGGCCGCAAGGCUAA
rnacentral:rRNA from 1 species